ensembl:lncRNA
AAUGAAUUUGAGGCUAGCCUGAAAUAUAUGAGUCCCUGCCUCUAAAACAAAAACAAAAAAACAAAAAAACAAAAAACAACAACCAAAACCCAGAACCAAAGGCCCAAUCCCAGGGAAGAAGAAGCCGCCUAUCUUUACGCCUUUCUCUUCAGUCAAUGUGGUCAACUUCUCCAAGGCCAAGUCAGAGAUGCUGCCUCCUGUGGGGCAGAUGAACAAGUAAAAGACUUCUCUUGACCAGGGAGGCAUUCAGGAGGAGUUUGAACAGAGCAAUGAACUGUCUUCCUACCCAAUUCAUAUAUUCAGCCCUUGUUUCUACUGAGAUAUGUCUCCAGCCAUUAAGUUGUCUCUGGUCAUGGAGUUUCAUCACAGCAAUAGGAACCCUAAGACAUACAUACCUGUAAUCUGGAAUUGGACGUGGGAGGACCGAGAGUUCAAGCCGCCACACAUUUGGAAAACUUGUAUAUUUAUGUAAAGCUCCAAUAUCCAGUCUCAAGGAUGACUCAGUAUGGUAAAGACCCUCGCUGCCAGGCUUGAUGACUUACGCUUGAGUCCUGGAUCCCACAUGGUGGAAAAGUCAACUUUCACAAGUUUUUGACCUUCACAGUAGUCACAUACAAACAACAAAACCCUAGUUUGGGACCGUAGAGAUGGCUCAGCCAUCGUCUGUUGAGAGCCCUUCACAUAGCUUCUCACAACUGCCUGUAACUCCUGUUUCCAGGGAGUUGGUGCACAUGUAUAACAUGUGCACUCAUACACGUGAAAAUAAAUGGAUCUUUAAAAUACAAAAAUAAAAACAAAGUUUUAGGUUGGUCCUGU